AUGGUCGGUGUGCUUCUUUUUGCAUAUAUCUCAGUGAAUCUAUUCCUUAAAUGUCAAGGUCAAACGAUUCAUCAAGCUAAGAUUUUCUGUGAAAAUAGAGAAGUACCAGAAGGUGGAAGACUGGAGGUUACUUGCAGCACAUUUGGCCUUACAGUAAAGGCAGUUUAUUUAUAUCUGUUUAAAAAUGGCAAAGCUAUUGAUUGGAAAAAACAGCUCAAUCCACAAGACACCACCUUUAAAAUGGAGAGAAUAGAUAUAAACCGUUCAGGCAACUACAGCUGUGGGUUUUCAGAAGAACAGUUGGAAAUAACCAAAGUGACAGGAUAUGGUCUUAAUAACAUCUUCAUAAAGGUGAUCGAAUCUUUUAUUUAUACACAGAUACAUUUGCUUAAGCCUGAGGUGCCAGUGGGAAGUGAUGCUGAGUUUAAAUGUUCAACAUCCAAUCCUUUACACAAAAACCAGUCUGAGAACAUGAUUUUGGUUUAUCUCAUCAAAAAUGGAAAGCCUGUUAAAGUUAAUAUUUGGGACACAGAGAAGAUGAUGACAACAUUCACCCUCAGAGAGGUCCGGACUGAAGAUGCUGGGACAUACAGUUGUGUUGUAUUGUUAAACAUACUCCCUUACCAUGGAAUGACACUUCAUCAAAAUAUUAAAGUCAAUCUUAAGAUUACUGCGACAUCUAAUAGCAGCAUUGACAAAAUCAUAAUUGUCAUAAUGUGGGCUAUCAUAGUGUUGCUCCUCAGUCUGUUUCUGGGAAUCUGGGCACUGAUCCGAAAACGAGGAUGCCUUGGAAUCCACAACGAAAGAUCCUCGAAAAACGAGACAGACCUCACAAGAACAGAAGUGUUCUAUGAAGAAAUUGACACACCUUACACAUCUGGUACUGGUGACAUACAACCUGUUGUCUGGACUGCCUCAGAGUGUGAUGAAAGUUCUUCUGAAAGUGAUGAAGAGUAUAAUAAAGUGGGAUGUGCAGUAUAGCACCUGCAAGCAUUAAAGUAUGAUUAAAUUAUACUGUUGCAACUUUGUGAUGUUAUCUAUGCUUUUGCUAUUUUACAACUGUUGCUUUUUGUGGUUUAUUUUAGCUUGUCCUUUUAAGUUUCCGUUUACUAUUAUCUGUUUCUUGUCACUAUUGUUGAUUUUUUAUUACACUGACCAACUGACUGUUGACUAUCACUUUAGUCACUGUGCACAUUUUUUUUCAUGUAAACAUUACUGUAAAUUAUCUUUCAAGACUAGAAAUUAAAUCUCAGAAUCCAUAGCAAAAUACAAUACACAUAUUGUUAAUGUAACAUUAAAUUUUAGAAUACAAACUGAUGUUGGUUUUAUUUUAUUUAUUUUGUUUAUUUAAUUUUUUCUUUAAUCUGCAGUGUGUUAAUGUUUUCACAAAUGUACUGAAGAAUAUCUAACAAUAAAACGCUUGGAUUUUACA
ensembl:lncRNA